CCGAAAAUUCUUCAAAAUCCUUGCCAAAAUAGCAACAAAUUAUUUCUUCAUUCAACUGUUUAGCCCCUAACCAUUUUAGGGUUUGGGGUGGUAGGUGAGUUUUGUUACUCAUAAAUUCCAAAUGAAAAAAUAAAAUUGCAUGAGUCCCUGGAAGUCAAAAAGGGAACAAGAUAAAAAGAACCAAAAUUAGCUUGACUAUCAACUGCCCUUCCUCUUUCAACCAAAUUAGUUUCACUUCCCAUUCAGGGGAGUGCAUUACCCCACAUCAAAAGAAUAAAUUCCAAUAACAAUUAUCUGAAGUUAGGGAAGACACAAAAUAUAUAGUGUCAAUAAUAAAUCACUAACACAAAGGUUUGUGUUUAGUCCGACUACUGAAAACACAGCAAGACAUUACAAAUUAUCCGAAGUCAUCCAGAUCCAGCAGCUGCCUGUUAUCCAGCUAAUCAUAGUGCAUGGGAAAAAAAAAAUUGAAUGUAAAACCAUCCAAGAGCCCUAUGAAACCCUUACAUUAUCAAUUCCGCUACUAAAUUCGGCAACCUGUAAAUUGAGGCAUUGAUGGGUAAUAGCUCCAGAUAAUGGGGAAUCUUGCUAGCUAUUCUUGAAAAGGAGUUCGGCCAAAAAAUGGGUUGGAUCGACUAAAUGGUACAUUACUACAACAAAAUUUCCCAUGCUAAUUAAUGGCAUCCCUCACGCUUUUUACAAAACUCUAAAGGUAAAGCUAUAAGACAUCGGGACCUCUUUCUCCUUAUUUAUUUGUAUGGAAACACUUAGUUGUCUCUUGGUGGGGGCAAGAGAGAGUGAUUAUUUGAUGGGAUUCAAGCCAAGGGAAGGUAUGGCAAAGGAGGUGAAGGUUUCCUAU
rnacentral:lncRNA from 1 species